CUUUGCAGAACACCAUGGGCUGGCGCCUUGUCGUAGAAGCCGUCUGUUCUUUCACUUUUCCCAAAGAGCUAACACUUCUCUGCUGCUCUCUGGAUCCUCCUCCCCCUACCUUGAACCCUCAAGAUGAAAGGUGAGUUCUCUUCUGCCCCAUGUGGGUGGAAGAGGGUGGGAUGCCAAGGACAGGGGUCUCAUUCUCUCCCACCCAUAGAAAUGGUGCUACCCAGCUCAUGUCUGGGCCUUUGAAUCCGGGGACUUCUUUAAGUCCGUCUCGUUCUGAAUCAAGAAGAUGCUGCAAUCAGAACCACUACACUACCUGCCUCAGGAAUCUGCUCCAAGGUGAAGCUGAAAGAACAGAUGGUGUCAACAUUUUGAAACAGCAGACUCAUAGCACCCACCCACCCCUGAGAAUCCAUCUUCAUGGCCAACUCUGCCUGACCCGGGAGACCACCACCCACAUCAUCCUGGAGCCAAGCCUCUACCCCGGGAUGACUUCAUCAUCUCCCUCCUGUCUUUUUCUUCUUCCUCCUUUCCUGUAAUUCUGUUUCUUUCCUUUUGUUCCUUCCUUGCUUGAGAGACUCAAAGCACCCGUGACUCUGUUUCCCCAUUUACCCCCUUUUGAAUUUGCACUAAGUCGAUUGCACUGGUUUGGAGUCCCGGAGAUAGCCUUGAGUCUCUCCGUAUGAAUGUAUACAGCAAGUGUGUAAGCCUCUUUGGCAAUGCUGCCCCAGUACCCACCUGUCAUCCAUCUCCGUCUGAGGGCAACUGGGUGUGGCCGUGUGCUUGAGGCCUCGCCUUCCCCUCGCCUAGUCUGGAAGCA
rnacentral:lncRNA from 1 species